UACAGAGGGGGCCAGCGUUAUUCGGAAUUAUUGGGCGUAAAGGGCGCGUAGGCGGCCAUGCGUGUCUUCCGUGAAAUCCCUCGGCUUAACCGAGGAACUGCCGUCCAAACUGCUUCGCUUGAGACCGGGAGAGGUGAGUGGAAUUCCCAGUGUAGCGGUGAAAUGCGUAGAUAUUGGGAGGAACACCAGUGGCGAAGGCGGCUCACUGGACCGGUACUGACGCUGAUGCGCGAAAGCGUGCGGAGCAAACGGG
rnacentral:rRNA from 1 species